rnacentral:rRNA from 1 species
GAUGAACGCUAGCGGCAGGCUUAACACAUGCAAGUCGAGGGGUAGAAAUAGCUUGCUAUUUUGAGACCGGCGCACGGGUGCGUAACGCGUAUGCAAUCUGCCUUGUACUGGGGAAUAGCCCGGAGAAAUCCGGAUUAAUGCCCCAUGGUAUUUUUGUGUGGCAUCACACGAUUAUUAAAGAUUUAUCGGUACAAGAUGAGCAUGCGUCCCAUUAGCUAGUUGGUGUGGUAACGGCACACCAAGACGAUGAUGGGUAGGGGUCCUGAGAGGGAGAUCCCCCACACUGGUACUGAGACACGGACCAGACUCCUACGGGAGGCAGCAGUGAGGAAUAUUGGUCAAUGGGCGCAAGCCUGAACCAGCCAUGCCGCGUGCAGGAUGACGGCCCUAUGGGUUGUAAACUGCUUUUAUACGGGAAGAAACACCUCUUCGUGAAGAGGCUUGACGGUACCGUAAGAAUAAGGAUCGGCUAACUCCGUGCCAGCCGCCGCAGUAAUAC